GUUAUUCAUUUGGGCCGCAAAAACAUCAAAGUUCCAGUGUUCGUCUCUCUUCUCUGUCCGGCCGCGACCUCUGAACUUCAUCACUGAAUCUGAAGCGGUCAGAGUUAUGUGUUUUUCGUGUGGUGUUAAAGCCUUAUUAAUUCAAUCUCCAUCAAUCAUCAAUCAUCUUCACCACCCUUAGCAUUCAGAAGUGGAUCUCCCAGAUUCCUUUUAUCUCUACCAAUUGAAGUCGAGUUCUUCUGAUUGUAAAAUCAGGAACCUAGGGAGAGUGAGAAGCUACAUUGCCUUAUACCAGCACCUAAAGCAUAUGUUACGCUUCUCUCUUGGCCCAAGAGUAUAGAUUAUGUGCCUUAUGAAGAGAUGACAGCAAACAAGAGGCUACGUUCUGAAUGUGAAGGUAACGAGAGGUGUUGAUAAGGCUGAGGGAGAACUCAGUCAACAAGAGAUCUAUGUUAACGCUAGCUCAUAUGCUUUGUCGAUUGCUUUAAUCGGUGUUGGAGACGGGCGAUGGGAAGACAUGAGGAAGUUCGACGACAAGAUCCCUAAGCGUGAAUUUGACAACUUUAAGUUUGUGAAUUUCACAGAGAUCAUGAAGAGAGAUUCAUCAGAGUCAGCCAAAGAAGCUGCAUUUGCUCUUGCUGCUCUAAUGGAGAUUCCCUUUCAGUAUCAAGCAGCAACUGACUCAGCCUACAAACAAUAAACAAAGGAAAGAGUAUUUUGAAAUAUCAAAAAGUAAACCUUCAAGAGAAUCAGUUAGAAAGGUAGUUCGUGAAGAAGAGAAAGAAGUUCUGUUGCUUGAUAAUGAUAGUGGUGGCUCUUACACUAUGGAGAUAAUGCUCCUUUCCAUGAAAGUGAUGACAACAGUUCAACAUGGUACGACGAGGGCGAACUACUAUGGACACCUUCGUUGCCACAAAAACUGAGGAUCGGUAUUGUUCUAUCCAAAGGUCAAUUACCUGGUGGGCACACUGUCGUACAUGGACCAUUCGGAUGAUGUUGUCCUAAGAUUAUCAUCUCUAAGUUUUCUUGAUGCUGUAUCAAAGACAUGCAUUGAGAGCUGAAGAAGCAUCUCAUCACUGCUAGCUAUGUUGAUGAUGAAACAUCCAUGCUACAUGAGAUGGCUAAGAAUGCCUCGAUAACGGUUCUUGGUGAAACGACAUCCCACAAUAGUGUGAAUCUCACUUGGCCUUUAGUGUGAAUCUCAACCCUCUUAAUAGUGUUCGUCAGAGGAAAAAUGUGCUGAACCCUAAGCCGCUUAUCCUGAUCUCAUGUUUUAGCUCUGUAAAGAAGUUGCACACAGUGUGAGAUUUCAGUUGCCAUAAACAUUUAAGAUAGAUCUUAAUCAAAAUAUUUUUUCUACAAUCGAAAGGCUGUAUCUCUUUAUUUAUUAUUAUUUUUUUUCUACAA